rnacentral:rRNA from 1 species
UACGGGGGGGGCAAGGCGUUGUUCGGAAUUACUGGGCGUAAAGGGCUCGUAGGCGGUCUGUCGCGUCUGCUGUGAAAACUCAGGGCUUAACCCUGAGCUUGCAGUGGGUUACGGGCAGACUAGAGUGCGGUAGGGGAGACUGGAAUUCCUGGUGUAGCGGUGAAAUGCGCAGAUAUCAGGAGGAACACCGGUGGCGAAGGCGGGUCUCUGG